rnacentral:lncRNA from 1 species
UCAGAGAGGAUCACCCACUUGUGUGUCAGCUGGUGCCACUCACGGGGUACAUAGAAUCACCUGGCUUGUUGUGGGGAGAGAGAGGACCCUUUUUUCCAGCGUCUCUUAGCUCAUUUCUGAGAGGAAGAAUUAGUAUUCGGGUCAGAUUCCAGGACACAUAUCUAUCAGAGGGAGCUGAGGACAAUGGGCACAACACCUCAAAGAGAAGCCUCUACCCCAGCCUCGAGAGAGACCUCAGACCCUCAGCUGCAGCUGAAACAGGGCAAGCCACCUCCUGAGGAAGGAAGCCUUUGUAACACCCGUUAAGUAUGACCGAGAUUCUUCUCUUCUAAAGAUAAAGGAAUCUCAGAGAAAGGCUUAGUUUAGGCAAAGGGAAGAGGCUCAUAGUGUGAGAAAAAGUAACAGAGCUUCAAGACAGCACUGAGGGUACCAAGAAACAACUCAGGAGAGAUUCAGCCAUAGACUUGGCAGGUUCCAAUUGUGGUCCCAGUCAGCAUGGACGGCGGCGACUUUGAGCAAGCCACCUCAGCUCCCUGGGUCUUAUUUUGACUAUAUUCACAAUGCAGAAAGAGAUUCUUUUAGCUCCAAGGGUCCUUCUAGCUCUGCUAAUUCUUUGACUGUAUUGGAAAGUGGUUUCAGAAUCGGAUUUUCUGGAAUCAAUAACCAGAUCCAUUAUUGACUAGAUGUGUGAUUGGGGCAAAUUCCUCCUCUGAAAAAUGAGGUUGAUAAUAGAGCCUACCUCAGCGAGUUAUUAUGAGGAUUAUGUUCAUUUGAAAUAUUCACCAUAGUGCCUUGCACUUAGAGAUGCUCAGUGAAUGUCCAUUUUUAUUGUGUCUAUCACCUUCCCAUAAAUCCUCGGGGAAGAUUUAGAGAGAGUGUAGAGCAAAGGCUAGCGGCUCAGCUGGGAGACAAGUCAUUUGUGGGAAAAGUUCUCUUGCGCUGAGGAAGACUUAGGAAGUACUUAAUUUUCUCCUAAAACAGAGAGAGCCCUUCUCUUCGGCUCUGAUAUGUUUCCCUAUCAGGACCCUGUAUCUCCAAGGAGGAGGAGAGAAGACCACCCCUCACCUUGCUCCUGUCUGUGUGGAGGUUGGGUUUUCUGCUGGGCCCCAGAGUGGCAGAGAGAAAGCUGAGACCAUUUACUUUCCACUCCUUUCCUUGGUCCCUGAUCUUCUUGCCGUGUGUAUAAGUCAGAGUCCAAUCAGGAGACAAAAACCACACAGGAAUUUGAACAAGUUUAAUAUAAAGAAAUACACUCUGUUAACUAUAACGUGAUUGCAGUGUUGAGGAAUUGGCUUGUAAGAAGUAAAGAGAACUCUAAAGAAACUAGGAGUCGCUGAUAGGAGCAGCCUGUACGUCUAGGACAGAGGUCGAGCAUUUGUGGAAGAACCUCCAGCCUCCCUUGGGCAGAGAAGCCGACCUGAGAUCCAGCACAGGGUGGCCCACUGAAUGGCAGAGGCAUUGUGGGUGUUGCACUGGCAAAAUUUGCUAGGAAUAUGCCCUCAAGGGUGCUUGGGAAAAGCUGUUCACAGGAGGUGUCUCCCAGGGACACUCCAAUGCAAUACCCCAAAGGAUGUGCUGGGGCAGCUGCUGGCUGUGGGAUGCUGCUGGCUGCUGUGCACACAGGAGCUGGGCCCUCAGGCAGCCGCAUGUGUGUGCCACAGGAGCCUGCAGAGAGAAGCACCCCAGAACUGGGACAAAAAGCCCUUCUUUCCACAAUAUCUCUCCAGUGCCCUCUACUGACAAAGAACAGCAUCAUGUCAGCUAGAAAUGGAAAAAUAUUUAAAGGGCCCAGAUCGGUUUUCACAGGGCAGAUAAUGAAGAAUGAAUUAGAAGGCAAUACGUUUGUAACUGGUACAAGUGGACUUUUUCUAUUCCCAUUUUGUGGAUGAAUAGGGCACCUCAUCGUAGGUCCGAUCUUUAUGUAGGGUAGCUCCAGUUCUCUGCCCCUCUCCCAACCUUCCUGAGGUAUAAGAAGACCUCCUAUGGGCGUAAAACACCAAACAGGAUUCAGUUCCAACACUCCUUGGAGCUGUUAGUGCUGCUCACUUCUGAUUUUGAAUUUCAUCUCUAUGACUGGAGCCUAGGGAGAUCCCUUUCUUAAUUUUGAACUUUAUUACAUCUUACAACUUUUACUGGUUUAUUUUAUUUCUGGAAUCAGAAGGAGAAGUCCUUUGUCUCAAUUCAGUCUUCCAUAUCGACUGGAAGUUGACCCAGAAGUAUCAGGCACCACAGAAAAACGAACACAUGAACGGAGAUGGGGAAGGAUGUUUUAAACUUUAAUUUACAAAUCCCUGAUGUGGUUUUGUAAAUAUAGAAACAGAUAAGAUCACCUCUUAGCAUUUUCUUAUAGACCACGUAAAUUUAUACUCUGAAUGGGCCUGUGGAUCUCCUGAAUAAGAGGAUGCCCAAAUUAUCCUUGCAACAGGAGGAAAAGCCCCUCACAUUCUCUAUGAAACAUUGACUGCUUCUUGUUAACUAUGUUUUCAAUUUUAACUAAUGCAUGAC